UACGUAGGUGGCAAGCGUUGUUCGGAAUUAUUGGGCGUAAAGGGCCCGUAGGCGGCCGAUUAAGUCCGACGUGAAAUCCCCAGGCUUAACCUGGGAACUGCGUCGGAUACUGAUUGGCUUGAAUUCGGGAGAGGGAUGCAGAAUUCCAGGUGUAGCGGUGAAAUGCGUAGAUAUCUGGAGGAAUACCGGUGGCGAAGGCAGGUCUCUGGGCCACUACUGACGCUGAGAAGCGAAAGCAUGGGGAGCGAACAGG
rnacentral:rRNA from 1 species